UACGUAGGCAGCAAGCGUUGUUCGGAAUUACUGGGCGUAAAGGGUGCGCAGGCGGCUUGGCAAGUCGGAAGUGAAAUCCCAGGGCUUAACCCUGGAAUUGCUUUCGAAACUGCCAAGCUAGAGUCUCGGAGAGGUUAGCGGAAUUCCCAGUGUAGAGGUGAAAUUCGUAGAUAUUGGGAAGGAACACCAGUGGCGUAAGCGGCUAACUAGACGAGUACUGACGCUCAGGCACGAAAAGCGUGGGGGAUCAAACAGGGAUUAGAAAACCCCCAG
rnacentral:rRNA from 1 species